rnacentral:rRNA from 1 species
GAUGAACGCUGGCGGCGUGCUUAACACAUGCAAGUCGAACGGAAAGGCCACAGCUUGCUGUGGUACUCGAGUGGCGAACGGGUGAGUAACACGUGGGUGAUCUGCCCCGUACUUCGGGAUAAGCUUGGGAAACUGGGUCUAAUACCGGAUAGGAAUCACAUGUGGGUGUGUGGUUGGAAAGCUUUUGCGGUAUGGGAUGAGCUCGCGGCCUAUCAGCUUGUUGGUGGGGUAAUGGCCUACCAAGGCGUCGACGGGUAGCCGGCCUGAGAGGGUGUACGGCCACAUUGGGACUGAGAUACGGCCCAGACUCCUACGGGAGGCAGCAGUGGGGAAUAUUGCACAAUGGGCGCAAGCCUGAUGCAGCGACGCCGCGUGGGGGAUGACGGCCUUCGGGUUGUAAACUCCUUUCGUCAGGGACGAAGCGAAAGUGACGGUACCUGGAGAAGAAGCACCGGCUAACUACGUG